rnacentral:lncRNA from 12 species
CCCGUAAUUGCAAGCAGAUGUCUUUCUCUGCUGACACGUUAAAUGGAAGCAGAAAGACCCGAUGCUAUCUUCCAUCAACAAUUUGCACUUAAGCAGAGAACAGAUUUUCGCAGAGCAGGGCUGCUGGAGGAGGAGAGGGAUUAGGUUCCUGGAGCCCAGGAGUCUCAGCAUUACAGCAAAACAAGGCAGCUCGGGAAAACAAUGAACCCCAAACAGUCCCUAAUCCCAAAGUAACCAAAAGCUAUUGUGCAGGAAAAUGAAUUUGUGAACCCAAUACUGCCGGGGCCUGGAGAGCACAAGGCUGAGGAAAUGUGAUGAUGCAGCUGCCAAGCACCCAGCCCAGCCCCACACACCCUGCAGAGGUCCUGAGCUCUGGGGAGCACGGAGCUGGAAUUAUCAGUACCAGUGGAAGUGGCAGGGUGUUUAGCAAACAUUAAACCAGGAAGCUUAAAAGGUCUUCCAGGAUUAUUAAAUAAACACUUAGGACAAAUGAAAGACUAUGGAAUGGUGGAGAAAUUCAGCAGGCAGUUGGGGCUGCGCAGAUUCAGCUGUGCAGGACAGUGUUCAAUCACUUUUGUAGUGUCACACAUAGUCAUGCCUCUACUCUUGGUAAGAGUUAAUCCAGGAGCAGGACUCUGAUAAACAUUUAGCCUGACAUUAAUAUUUUAUUAAAGACCAUUUAACAUAAAAAUCUGAACAUGUCAGCCAGCAGCAUCAGCCUGGCCAGGCCAAUGCCACCAUUGCUGUCGCACAUGGCCUAAGACAUGUUACUCUACUUCAGAGGUCCCACAAAUAGCUCAAAGAGUGCUGCACCCCAAAGAGUGCUGCACCCCAAAGAACGCUGCAACCCAAAGAGUGCUGCACCCCAAAGAACACUGCACCCCAAAGAAUGCUGCACCCCAAAGAAUGCUGCAACCCAGAG